AAAUUGAAAAUUCAGUUGAAGCAGUAUUAUCAUUUCCAGCAGCAGCAUCAUCGUAAUUAUUGUUACGAAUAUAAGAAAAAAUAAUAUUCGGUUCAACACUUGAGAUUUUUCAUCUUAUCUCAUUCACCGUCCAACGCAGUGCAGCGUAUAGUAGUAACCAAUAUCCAUCAGCAUGGAGCAAGACCUUAAAGCCGUUCUUCAUCCCCAACAACAGCCAAUACCCUUCUUGGUUGUCUACCGAGCAAGAAGCACGUGUGCGUCAAUAUACGUGGUGGAUUUCCCAAGAAGAUCGGUAUAUACUGCUCUCCAGCAGCCAGCAAUAUACACGUCGUAUAUCACCUGGCUCAGCUAAUACCGGGUGAGAUGUGCGUGAGGCUAUCUACGCUCCAUAAAACACUCAGAUAGUAUGGCGAGGGAAAGCAAAGUCCUCUGCCGAAUUGUAUAUAUCUAUAUGCCGUAUAUCGUACUCCAAACACUAGGUACAUAUUGAGAGAGAUAGCUGCUCGCAAACAGAAGACCAAGGAAAGGAAGACAAAAGAAAGACUAAACUGAACAUGAAGGAAUAGGGCGGAUGACUGUCAACGCAGGUGCAAACAGUCUCAUCAUAAAUAUGCUGUGCUGGGAACAGUUUUUUCCAACCUUAUAUCGGAAAUUUAAUUGGGGCGUGGUUGGAGCCAUUAUUUUAUCUUUUUUUGGACAUGGAAGUGGAGGCAGGAGCAUUACACCAUCGGAGAUAAAAAAAUAUAAUAGUGUGUCAUGACCGAGUGAAGGCCAUAAUGAAUCUUUAUGGAAUAGUGUCGUGAACUUGUAUUCCCUCUGAUGACUGACUGAACUCUCAUCUCAUCUCGAUAGGACAGGCUGUCUACUGACCAGUGGCGCAAUCUCCGUUUAAACUUAACCGUUACAGCUGUCACAAAAAAGGAAUCAUUAAAAAAGUGGUGUCUAAUGAGCCAUUGAGUACUUUACGGAAAGUCGCGAGUGCUGAGGGAAUAAACUUUAUUUUUCAGUAAUGACCUGGCCCUGAAACAAGGAUCGAUAAAAGCAGGCGAGUCAUUGUGCGUGACAAGCGGAUGGGAAAACACGGUGUUGGCUAUCAGGGAACGGAUCGCCCGACAUAACAUUUUCAACAGUGUUUCAAUUCAUGUUACCAAAAUUCAGGAAGACCCAAGUACAAGAAAUUGUCCGGAGCUCCCAACUACUCAUUCUGCUAACACACGUACUCCUUGUUCUCGAACACCGGCGACUCAUUCGAGGAACAUACACGGGUUGAAGACUCUUCAGUUGGCCCUGUACUAAAAAAUUGGUUGACAAAUGUUUGGCAUUAGUGUGUGUACUUGUCUACUACAGAGCACUUUCGAGGAAUUACCUGAACCGGAAAAACUGAGUACAGAUGGAUGAAGACGCAGUAGGACUGGAUGAUCCCGAGGGCUGAAUUUGCGAGAAGUACAAAGCAGCUGAAAAUUUCUAGUCUACUGGGAUUUUGUCUUUUGAUUUCAAGAUACCUAUCACAGGAGCUCCUCGCUUUUUAUUAAUCUAACAAUGGAUAGAAAGGCUGCAGUGAGUGCAGAGUCUAGGGAUGCUGCAACGGUAGCAGCCCCGACAUUCUCAUGUCCCGAGCAGCUGCUGACAGUCGUGACACACCAAAGAUUAUCUCACGUGGGCGACACAAGUUCAGAAUUAUCGGUUCCUCACAAAGUUUCACCGAAGGAAGUAAAAAAAAAAAAAAAAAAAAAAAAAAUAAGAAAAAGGUUUCUAAAAACGUGACGAAAUUCAUCUGUUUUUUUUUUUUCUUUCAACACAAUGCUAACGAGAUCCCAGUUCGUUACCAAACUACUUUAUAGUACGGUAAAAGAAUGGCCGCCGUAGAUCUCGAGCCAACUUCAAGAUGUAUUAAAUCAUAUCCUGGUAUUUUAUAUCGGGGAAAGUUAAAAAGUAGCCGAAGUACAGAAAAAAACCCACUUGAAAAAUUACAUUUCGUAUAGUUGAAGUAAUACGCAGUAAAAAUACUACUCAAAGAGAAUUUUCGAUCAAGUUUUCUUAGAAAAUAGUAAAAAACACGUCCUGGGAAAACUUUAAGUACUUUUUUUGAUGAAAUUGAAUAUAAAUGAGAAUUUUGAAGCA